rnacentral:ribozyme from 13 species
AAGAAAAAGAAAAAGAAAAAGAAAAAGAAAAAGCAAUCGAAGACCUUAUUGCUUCUUCUCUCUCUCUCCUUAUCUCCCACUCUCUCUCUCCUUCUUUCUCUUUCCCAUCUCUUCUCUUCAAAGCCACUCUUAAUCACCCAAAGGAACAGCGAAAUGGUUGGGAUAAGUUUGUUGAUCAGGAGAAGUUGAGUUGUGUUGAUGUUGUUUGUAAACACGAGGAGAUGGUUUUGUUCCCAGCCGUAAAUGUUGUGGCUAAGGUGGUUUAUGAAGUUAUGAGUGAAAAAGAAUGAAAAAACAAGCAAUAAUGAUGAUCAUGAUGGCACAGCUACAGU